rnacentral:tRNA from 1 species
GGCCUCGUAGCUCAGCUGGUAGAGCGUGCGCUGUACACAAGCGUGGGCGGUGUCCAUGCGUGAGUUCGAAUCCCACUGGGGCUA